rnacentral:rRNA from 1 species
UACGUAGGGGGCUAGCGUUGUCCGGAAUCAUUGGGCGUAAAGAGCGUGUAGGCGGCCCGGUAAGUCCGCUGUGAAAGUCGGGGGCUCAACCCUCGAAUGCCGGUGGAUACUGUCGGGCUAGAGUGCGGAAGAGGCGAGUGGAAUUCCUGGUGUAGCGGUGAAAUGCGCAGAUAUCAGGAGGAACACCAAUUGCGAAGGCAGCUCGCUGGGACGUUACUGACGCUGAGACGCGAAAGUGUGGGGAGCGAACAGG